UCACACAGGUGAAAAGCCAUAUGUUUGUGAGGACUGUGGGGCAUCUUUUGCUGAUAAAGGCAAACUCAAUGGUCAUAAGAGGACACAUACAGGAGAACGCCUCUUCAGAUGCGAUGUGUGUGGGAAACAUUUUGCUACCAAUGAAUAUUUAAAAUGUCACAAGCGUUGUCACAUGGGAGCUAAGCCAUACAAGUGUGAUGUGUGUGGAAAAACCUUUGGAUUGAGAGCUUCAUUAGCCCAACAUAGUAAUGUGCACGCAGAGACUCCUCCUUAUUUCUGUGAGCAGUGUGGAAAGACAUUUACUCAGCAAGGAGCCCUAAGACGUCACCAGCGUAUUCACACUGGAGAGAAGCCCUACAAAUGUAGGGCUUGUGAGAGAACUUUCACAGAUAUGUCUACCCUGAGGAGGCACGUAUUGGUACGUUCGCUGGUUUGUGCUACAAAUUUUGUCUGCAGGAAUAGGUAGUUUUAUGUCCUGAGGUCAUUAAAAGAGUUCCCUCACUGAGUUGUUGCUGUUGUUUUUAAAGCAGUGCGUGGCAUUGCAAUCAUCUUUCAUUCCCGUCGCUCCGUGCAGUGUGGCCCAGCUGCUGGGGUAGGGAGACAAAAGCAAAGGCACCUCUGCACAGGCAGAGAAAACUGACAAUGCCCCAGUGAUUUC